rnacentral:rRNA from 1 species
ACUACGGGGGGCAGCAGUGGGGGAUAUUGCACAAUGGGGGGAACCCUGAUGCAGCGACGCCGCGUGGGUGAAGAAGCGCCUCGGCGCGUAAAGCCCUGUCAGCAGGGAAGAAAAUGACGGUACCUGAAGAAGAAGCCCCGGCUAACUACGUGCCAGCAGCCGCGGUAAUACGUAGGGGGCAAGCGUUAUCCGGAUUUACUGGGUGUAAAGGGGGCGCAGACGGCGAUGCAAGCCAGGAGUGAAAGUCCGGGGCCCAACCCCGGGACUGCUCUUGGAACUGCGUGGCUGGAGUGCAGGAGGGGCAGGCGGAAUUACUGGUGUAGCGGUGAAAUGCGUAGAUAUCAGGAGGAACACCGGUGGCGAAGGCGGCCUGCUGGACUGCAACUGACGUUGAGGCCCGAAAGCGUGGGGAGCAAACAGGAUUAGAUACCCUUGUAGUC